UCUUCAUUUCGCACACUCUCUCACCGGUCAGAGUGGCGAGAGAACGUAGGAAAUGAAAAGA
rnacentral:pre_miRNA from 1 species